rnacentral:rRNA from 1 species
UACGGAGGGAGCUAGCGUUAUUCGGAAUUACUGGGCGUAAAGCGCACGUAGGCGGCUUUGUAAGUAAGAGGUGAAAGCCCAGAGCUCAACUCUGGAAUUGCCUUUUAGACUGCAUCGCUUGAAUCAUGGAGAGGUCAGUGGAAUUCCGAGUGUAGAGGUGAAAUUCGUAGAUAUUCGGAAGAAACACCAGUGGCGAAGGACGGCUGACUGGACAUGUAUUGACGCUGAGGUGCGAAAGCGUGGGGAGCAAACAGG